rfam:Salpingoeca sp. ATCC 50818 unplaced genomic scaffold supercont1.35, whole genome shotgun sequence.
GACUCAGUAGUUGAGGGGUACAAUUUCCGCCUGCCAAUUUCUCCCAAGCGCUUAACCAAGAGCGCUUCAGUGCGCGGGAGGCCCGGGUUCAAAUCCCGGCUGAGUCA